GUGCCAGCAGCCGCGGUAAUACGAAGGGUGCAAGCGUUACUCGGAAUUACUGGGCGUAAAGCGUGCGUAGGUGGUUGUUUAAGUCUGCUGUGAAAGCCCUGGGCUCAACCUGGGAAUUGCAGUGGAUACUGGGCGACUAGAGUGUGGUAGAGGAUAGUGGAAUUUCCGGUGUAGCAGUGAAAUGCGUAGAGAUCGGAAGGAACAUCUGUGGCGAAGGCGACUAUCUGGGCCAACACUGACACUGAGGCACGAAAGCGUGGGGAGCAAACAGGAUUAGAUACCCUGGUAGUCC
rnacentral:rRNA from 1 species